AUGUUUCCUUUGAUUAAAGAUGUAUCGUUCUUAUCAAUUCAGAAAAUGAAGCUCAAUACUAUCAAUAACUAAACAUAAAUCCAUGAUUCAUUAGACAACUCCUUCCAUAUAUGAUAGGAAACAUCCCUUCAAGGGAUGUAUUAUAAUCACAUUUGGUUCAACUAUGGCCAGGUGAAACAUGUUGAACCAUCUAGUUUAUAGCAUACUGAAUUGUACCAGCAGCUAAUUGGAAUAGUUUCAAUGCUAUUGAAACAAAACACUGGUAAGGAGGAGGCACGGCAAAAGAAAAAGAAAAGAGAAAGAAAGAGAGGGGGGA
rnacentral:lncRNA from 1 species